UGACAUGGUACAAACGAAGACAAGUUUAUAAAUAUAUAUUAACAUAUUGUCUGAGGUGAUGAAUUGCAAUCCUAUAAACACAAGUCCUUGGAAUUGGUUUUUUCAACAUAAUUUGGUCUUCAAAAUUAAUGCGGUGGUGGGUCAGACACGUAAUGUAUGCGUUGCCUCUGAUUCGGCGGUGGUGGUGGUGAGAGUUGCGUUCUGAGGCUGUGAAACCAAAAACUGUCCCUCUCCCUCUCCGUGGGUGUUAAACCAGCUGCCCCUUGACAAUAAAUAGGAGCCAUGUUUCUGGAUGCACCUCGGCAAUCAAGAAUCCACCUUGAGCUUACACCUAUGACGAAAUGAAGCAUAAAAUCAAUCAAUUUAGUAAAUAAACUAGAUGUCCAGUUCAGAGGAAAUACCUUGAACACAAUUGUGAACAGCAUCGAGAAUUAAGAGGAUAACGAGGAGUGCUGCAAUGAGUUGCUUUGCAAGUAGUAAUAUCCUAUUCAUGGCGAUGGUUUAAGAAAGGAAGAUAAGAUCACCACAGCUAUAUUCUUUCAAAUGUAUUUGCCUAGUUUAAGAAAGGAAGAUGGAACCAAUGCAGAUUUUUAAGGAAGUCGAA
rnacentral:lncRNA from 1 species